AUGAACGCUGGCGGCGUGCCUAAUACAUGCACGUCGAGCGAACAGAUAAGGAGCUUGCUCCUUUGACGUUAGCGGCGGACGGGUGAGUAACACGUGGAUAACCUACCUAUAAGACUGGGAUAACUUCGGGAAACCGGAGCUAAUACCGGAUAACAUAUUGAACCGCAUGGUUCAAUAGUGAAAGGCGGCUUUGCUGUCACUUAUAGAUGGAUCCGCGCCGUAUUAGCUAGUUGGUAAGGUAACGGCUUACCAAGGCAACGAUACGUAGCCGACCUGAGAGGGUGAUCGGCCACACUGGAACUGAGACACGGUCCAGACUCCUACGGGAGGCAGCAGUAGGGAAUCUUCCGCAAUGGGCGAAAGCCUGACGGAGCAACGCCGCGUGAGUGAUGAAGGUCUUCGGAUCGUAAAACUCUGUUAUCAGGGAAGAACAAAUGUGUAAGUAACUGUGCACAUCUUGACGGUACCUGAUCAGAAAGCCACGGCUAACUACGUG
rnacentral:rRNA from 1 species